UGCCUUCCUCUCUGCACCUGAUACAGAAUGCUCCAUAUUAUGCAAGAAAGAUAUCAUAACUCUUAUCUUCCCUAAUGUAAGUACUUGAAUAAUUAAUCUUUCUUUUUCUUGUUGUCAUAUUAUUGUUUCGAUUGCAAUGUAGUUUUAUAAUUUUUAAUUUGACGAGCUAAAAGUGUCUCCAUUUCUAUGGUUAUUUGGCCACUAUAUCUUGGAAGCCUUGUGCCGCAGGACAUGAGUACAUAAUUUCAGGUGAGUAAACACCCACUGAUGGAUGUAUGAAUUGUAAUUUUUGAAAAUAAUUUAAACUAUAUCUUUCUUAUCUGAAGCCACAAAGAGUACUUUGAAUCUUUAUUCUCAUUGUUCUCUUUCUGAAUGGUUAAAUUAGCUGCAAUGGUGGAAAUUCUAGAUCUUACAGCAUAUGCUUAGCCUCUUUGCGAUAAUGGUACCGACUUUGCUACACCGAAGAAAAGUGAAAUAGGAAAACUGGGAAAACUCACCAAUUUUGAACCUUGUCUGUUGAUGAAAAAUUAAUCCGACUUGGUUAACUUAAAUUUAAAAAGUACCAGGCAGAGAUAGCAUGUAGUGAAUGGAACAUACAACUAUUUUCGAGAACUGUUUUAUUAGAACACUAAUGAGUUAAUGUUGAGCACCACUCCAAUGCCAAAAUUGUCUGACUUGGAAAAUACGGAAAUUUUGAUUUUAAGUGGAUGGAGUAGUAUUUUAAAUUCAUCAUCUUAAAACUGUAUUUGGUAACACUUUUGGGAUGGUUGGUAUUGUUUGUAUCGUGCUGCGACCCCUUGACCUAAAAGUCUUUCAUAAGAAAAUUCAAAAAAGGCUUUUGCUUAAACAUAAUUUGGGCGUAGUUUUAUGUUGGAUUGCUUAUAUAUAAUUUUCUUAUAGUUGAUGCUCUUUUUUGUUCAUUCUAUUUACUUAUUCUAUUCUUUUUAUACUUAUUUUUUUGUUACUCAUAUAAUGACUAUAGUUUUCCUAUUACAUUUUACGUAAUUAUUUCCUCUUUCUGGAGAUGGACAGUGCUGUAUCUUCUGCUGAAUUUGGGAUUGAUAGCAUUAACGAAGAAAGAACUUCAAAAUAAGAGAUGGCAAGUCUUAUAUGCCUAGAAGAAAGAAGCUUGAAACAUGUGCAAGAAAGAAAUACAAAAAUAAUCUAUGAAGUUGCGAGAUAGGCAAAGGAAAUAGAGGUAUUGCAAGUGACCCGAGCCGUGGAAUGACCAUACAUAAAUUCAAAUAUUAGGCAAUUGCUUAAUAAAGAUAAUAGUUUUAAUUCUUCUAGGUUAUUAAUGGUGAGGAUUUUAUGAUAGUUUGAAUUUAGGAUUACACUAAUACCGAUAUAUUUUUUCUUUCAUCAUAGUCUAACGAUAUUUUCAUAUAGUUAGAUACUUAACUUUCGCAACUUUCAAUCUGUUUACCGAGUUUUGCUGUCUUGAUAACUUAUUGAUAUUUUGUUCAGUUGUUGAACUUCGUUUCAAUGUGCCUACUGCAUACGCACAGAAUAGAGAAUCAUGUGCAUUUUAAUAUAGCAUAUUAAAUGUUUCCAUAAUCAAUAUCUCUUUUCUACAAGAUUCUUCGAUUUCUAUAUUUUUUUCGUAAUUAAAAUAUGUAUAUUAGAAAACUUUGCUAUCAUUGUUGCAUAAUUAGUCAGCGUUUGUCAGAAUCCUAUGCUUUGACCAAGUUAUUUUUCUUGCCUCUUAUAUUGGUUUACUAUAAGUUAAACCUUGUGUUCACAUAUCCUUUAAAUUUCACUCCUUUUUAAGGAUUUUUUUUUUUUUUUUUGCUUCAUUUUUUCAUUAAUUUACAAUAUUUUUUGAAUCUCAUAUGAAAGUAUUUAAAUUUAGUUCACUUAGGACGAAAUUUCUUUAACAAAAUCUCCAACCUUUUCCUUCUAACAUGCGCCACCCACGCACACCCUCUCAGCUCGCAAUCAUUUUAUGAGCAAACUUUCUGAUGGACCCCACUCCACCUCUUGUGCAAAGCUAGCAUCAAAUCCCAUUCAAGAUAUUUUUAUGGGGAAUUUACAUAAAUGUCACUAAAUUUGAAAAUGCACAAAAAAUUUUGUCUUGCACAAAUUUUUUACAAAAAUGUCACUUUUUCUCCACAAAAUGUCCAUCUUACCCUUUGAGAUCUUUUUAGGAGCAAUAAAUACUUGAUUUGAAUGCAAUUAAUGGUGUGAUGUGAUUAUUUAUUUUUCUUUAUUGUUAACAUUGAAGAAAUAAAUAUUAUAUUGUAUAAUAUGAAUUUUUGAUUAAAAAAAUAGUGGAAUCUAUACAAAAUACACAAACACACAUCUAAGACUUGAAAUAGCUUCUUCUUCUUCUUCUUUUUCUUCAUCUCUCUUCCAUCAUCAACAAGGCAACAAGGAAAGCUAUUAAUCAAUCUCAAAUGUGAGGUAGUAGGAAAGAAAUAUUUUCAUGACAUACUUGACUACUUUAAAUGUUCAAUAGAACAUUGUCAUAAUUAAUUGUCCAUUUUUAAUUUCUUAUUCAUUGAUGUGUUUAAUUUUUGGUAUAUUUUAGAAAGGGAAAAAAUAUCAAUAUUUUCAACAAAAUCUAAAGGAUUCCAUAUUUAAUGAAGCAUUGAGUUACACUUUCUUUAUAUAUGUGGGAAGAUCAGUUGAUAUUGUAGUUGAGAAUUGAUUAUCACCAUUAAUGUUUUGCAAUAAAUUCUUCAAACAGUCAAACACAUGAUUUUUAACUUCCCCGAAACUUGUGAUAGUUCAACUGUUGAGUAGUUUCGUUGAAACCGUCGGGUUAAACAUUUUAACUGUCGAACUCGACAUUUAGUAACUGUCGGGAUGGACAGAGAAUUCAAUUGUCGAUUUUGACACCUGAAAAGCUCUCUUUUUGGUACUACAUGGGUCAAAGUAUUCUAAUGCACCAAUUUGAUGGUAUUAAAUCCUUCGACAUAUGAAUGUGCAAAAUUCUCACUUUUGUAAUCCCAACAUUUCAGGUAUGGCUCAGAAUUUGAGAUUCAUCAUGUCGUAUGGAGAGAGCUUUGCUCACGUGGAUGACGAACGGAAGUGGAGAGGGGACAAAACAACUUCCAUAUGCGAUUUUCAAUCCCCAGCCAAAUGAAUUGUAAAUUGCAACGUUGUAAUUAAUUCACCAAAUUACGC
rnacentral:lncRNA from 1 species